rnacentral:rRNA from 1 species
CGAACGGUCGCGCAACACGUAAGCAACCUGCCCUAAAGUUGGGGAUAGCCCUCCGAAAGGAGGAUUAAUACCGAAUGUGGACAUAUUUUCGCAUGUUUAUAUGUCUAGAGCAGCGAUGCGCUUUAGGAUGGGCUUGCGGCCUAUCAGCUAGUUGGUGUGGGUAACGGCCUACCAAGGCGACGACGGGUAGCUGGUCUGAGAGGAUGGUCGGCCGGAUUGGGACUGAGACACGGCCCAGACUCCUACGGGGGGCAGCAAUUAGGAAUCUUGCGCAAUGGGCGAAAGCCUGACGCAGCGACGCCGCGUGACUGAUGAAGUCUUUCGGGAUGUAAAGGUCUUUUGCAGGGGACGAAGGAAGUGACGGUACCCUGCGAAUAAGCCCCGGCUAACUACGUGCCAGCAGCCGCGGUAAUACGUAGGGGGCGAGCGUUGUCCGAAUUCACUGGGCGUAAAGCGCGCGUAGGCGGGUUUUUAAGUUGUGGGUGAAAUUCCGAGGCUCAACCUCGUAACUGCCUGCAAAACUGGGAGCCUUGAGGUAUGGAGAGGGAAGUGGAAUCCCUGGUGUAGCGGUGAAAUGCGUAGAUAUCAGGAGGAACACCCGUGGCGAAGGCGGCUUCCUGGCCAUAUCCUGACACUGAGGUGCGAAAGCUAGGGUAGCGAACGGGAUUAGAUACCCCGGUAGUCCUAGCCGUAAACGAUGGAUACUAGGUGUUAGAGGUAUCGACCCCUCUAGUGCCGCAGCUAACGCAUUAAGUAUCCCGCCCGGGGAGUACGACCGCAAGGUUGAAACUCAAAGGAAUUGACGGGGGCCCGCACAAGCGGUGGAGCAUGUGGUUUAAUACGUCACUAACCGUAGAACCUUACCCAGGCUUGACAUCUAGGGAAUC